UGGGGAAUAUUGCACAAUGGGCGCAAGCCUGAUGCAGCCAUGCCGCGUGUAUGAAGAAGGCCUUCGGGUUGUAAAGUACUUUCAGUCGGGAGGAAGGUGGUAAGGUUAAUAACCUUAUCAAUUGACGUUACCGACAGAAGAAGCACCGGCUAACUCCGUGCCAGCAGCCGCGGUAAUACGGAGGGUGCAAGCGUUAAUCGGAAUUACUGGGCGUAAAGCGCACGCAGGCGGUUGAUUGAGUCAGAUGUGAAAUCCCCGAGCUUAACCCGGGAAUUGCAUCUGAUACUGGUCAGCUAGAGUCUUGUAGAGGGGGGUAGAAUUCCAUGUGUAGCGGUGAAAUGCGUAGAGAUGUGGAGGAAUACCGGUGGCGAAGGCGGCCCCCUGGACAAAGACUGACGCUCAGGUGCGAAAGCGUGGGGAGCAAACAGG
rnacentral:rRNA from 1 species